ACCCAAAUUUUAUAAAAUUUAAAUGCCAUUUAAUUAAGAGGUCAAGUGGGCAAGUGGGUAGAAAAGCACUCAAGUACCUUGUGAUAUUUUGAAGAGUAUUGUGAGCAAUUCCCACACUAAGAACCGAUCACUCUCCAUCUCUCAUUCACUAUCAUCUUUUUUGAAGACCUCUCAAAGUGUUCUCUCCAUUUUUCAAGCCCAAGAACACCAAGGAAACUUUGAGGCUAAGUCUUGGUCUAGGAAGUAUUUUCCCUAAGUUUGUUAGGGUUUUUGAAAGGUUUUGGAGGAGCCAAAGCUAAUAGGAAGGUCCAAACCUUAAGCAAGAACACCAAAGAGUAUUGGCUAAGCGUAACUGGACUGAACGUUGGAGGGUGAAAACCUGCUGAGCG